AAUAAAUUAAAGUUAAAAUUUGAUAAUAGACUCAUACCACCAAUAAACUAUUUAAAUUUAAAAUAUAAAUAUAAAUUUUAUUUUUGAUUUUUGUGAUGUGCAUUGCCGUGCACUAUGACAAGUAUAUAUAUAUUAUAUGAGUAAGUCUCCUAUACUUUCGAAAGUACGGAGACCUCCGUACUUGUAAGUUAUUUUCGAUGGUAGAAAAUCCGAUUCGAGAUCGGUUUGUUAAGUAUAAUCAUCCUAUUGAACUAUUUGAAACUAAAUUUAUAAUUUUUGACAUCAUUUACCAAGCGAUCAAAUGUCUCAAAAAUGACUAUUUAACGACCGAUGUGAACACGUUUUUAAGUUCAAUACGGUGUAGAAGUAUCCAAAAUUAGAUGAAAAUUUAAUAGAAAAUCUACUUAACAUCAUAGCAAGACCAAACUUCCGAUUUGAAAUUUGAGUCCUUUAUCACUGUUUUUUAUGGAUUUUUAUUUUUAGCCGUUCAUUUUGAGGCUACUGCGUUUACUAACAAAAAGUCAAAAAAUUAUGAAAUUGGUUUCUCUCGGUAGUCUACAAUAACGUAGAUCAUGUUUAACGGAACCGAUUGCCGAAUCCGAUAUUCCAUUAUUAAAAUAACUUACAAGUACGAAGGCUUCCGUACUUUCGAAAGUAUAGAAGGCCUACUCAUAUAUAUAUAUAUAUAUUAUAUAUAUAUAUAUAUAAUAUAUAUAUAUAUAUAUAUAUAUAUAUAUAUGAGCAGGCGCUGUGCUCUCAGGAGCACGGAGGCCUCCGUGCUCCUGAGCGUUUUCGAUGAUGGAGUUUUCAAAUCGACAUCGGCUCCGUAAAACUUGAUCUAGCGUAUUAAAGUUUCUAGAAAAUAAUUUUUGUGAUUUUCGAUAUCAUUUACCAGCAAUCGAAAGGAUUCAAAAUCAAUAAUUUUUACAGGCUGAAAAUAAAAAUCCAUAUAAAACGUGUUGAUAUACACUAAAAUUUUCGAUCAGAAAUAUAGAUCUUGUUGUAGAUAGUAUAAAGAAUUUUCUAUCAAAAUUUCAUCUGAUUUGAAUACUUCUAACACCGUUAAACUUGAAAACGGCAGAUAUCAACCUUUAAAAUUAUGGAUUUUGAAUCCUUUCGAUCACUAGGUAAAUGAUAUGAAAAAUCGCAAAAAAUUAUUUUCUAGAAACUUCAAAUGCGCUAGUCAAGUCCUAACGGGCCGAUCGUGCGAUAUCGAAAAUUCCAUCAUCGAAAACGGCUCAGGAGCACGGAGGCCUCCGUGCUCCUGAGAGCACAGCAGCCCUGCUCUAUAUAUAUAUAUAUAUAUAUAUAUAUUGAGCGCUAGAGUGUUUCUAAAAGCACCAAGCUAUUGAUGUUUAUAGUUUUCUAGCCCUUAGAGCAACCUUGGAUGAUGUAUUGGGCUAUUGUAUUAAAAGUGUACUUUGGUGGCUUAAAAGUUAAAAAUGGUGGUUUAUGAUUUAUUGGCCACAAGGGUUGAUCAAAGGGCCAAAAAUAACCAAGGCCUUGUUGCUUUUUAAAAAUACUAUAGCUGGGCUCUAUAAGGUAAAUUGAUUGUGCAAAAAACUAGUACAAGAAUAAGAACAAUUCAACAGCAUAGAAAAUUCAUAGAUUUGAAUUACUACUGCAACACCAAAAUAAUUUUUCUUUUUAUUUGACUACUUAAUGUUGAGAAAAUUCGUCACUAUGAAUACAUUAUAACUAAGAGCAAUACAUUAGUAUAAAAUCCGACCUCAAACAAAAAAAUUAGUUAUAUUAUGAAAGGACAACUAAAUUUUGGAAUCAACGGGCUUUGCACGAACCAAUAAUAGUUUUAAAUAAUAAAUUGAAAAGAUAAAAAUUUUAGGUAAUGAAAAAAUUUCACAAAGUAAGAUAAUUUCCAUUAAAUUUAACACCUUUGACUAAUUUUCAGUUGAAACUAGCAUAAAUUCAUUUACUAAUUAAUUAUUAAUAGCUAAUUAACAUAUUAAUUAAUUUUCUUUAUUUAAUUUAUUAUAAUAUUUGAAAUCUGAAUGGAUAAAAAAAAAUUUUAAAAAAAUGGACCAUGUACAUUCAUAUGCCCCUCACUAGUUUAGGGGCAAAAUGAACAAUUUAAUUCUUAACCUUCAUUAUAUUAUGGUAUAACUAAGAUUAAAAUGAGUUGACGGUAUUUUUGAAACAAGUAAAUAUUUGAGGGGGCAAUUUUAAUAUUACAAAUUAUGUAGGGACGUUUACGAUAAUUUUGAACUUUUCAAGAAUACGAAUGAAAUUGCCCAUAUAUAAAAAUGUUGUGCUUAACUAUUCUAUGAUGUUAUUGCCCUAUUAUCAAAAAAAUCUGUUGAUUAAUAGAAAAGUGAAGUGCAAUUUUUUGAAAACUAUAAAGUACUUUCUUAACUAUAGAUUUUUAUAGUAAACUAAAAAUAAAAUCAUAAAAUAGCUAAGCAUAUUGUUUGAACCAUAUGAUAAGGAAGCAAAAACGUACUAAAUCAUAGAUAGUUAAGUAUAACUUUUUAAACAAUAAAGUGGCAAAUUUAGUUGGGUAAAUUGUAGUUUAUCUUUUUUUUUUUGGAAAAAUUUCAAAUACUAUCUCUGUGGUUUCACACUUUCUCAUUUUAGUACCUUACGUUUUAAAGUGUAUCAAUUUAGUAUCAUGUAAUUUUAUUUUUCUCUUUUUAUUAUCCAUUUCACUAAUUUUUUCAUUAAAUAAGUGACAAAGUUAAAAUUAAAGGGUAUUAAAGUGAAUAUUCGAUAAACCUAGUUAGGGCAUCUGAAGUUUUUUUGUAUAUAAUUUAACGAAAUAUUAACGGAGGAAAAAAAAUCAGUGACAAAGUUAAAACUAAAGGGUACUAAAGUAAAUAUUUGAUAAACCUAGGCAGGGUAUUUGAAGUUUUUGGUAUGUAAUUUAACGAAAUAUUAACUGAGGAGCCGACGAAAAGGAAAAAAUGAAACCAUAAGGUACUAAAUUGAUGAACUUUAAACCACACGGUACUAAAGUGAGAAAAUGCAAAAUCACAGGGUACUAAAUUGAUACAUUUUAAACUACAGGAAACUAAAGUGAAAAAAUGCGAAACCACAGGAGUUGUAUUUGAAGUUUUCUUUUUUGUUUUUUACUCCAUGUUUUGUGAUAGGUGGUCCAACCUUACAGGGGGAUAAUAAUGUAAUGAAUUUGGUGGGCCCAGACCAACUACAUUCUGCGAGAAAAGGCCAACCCAAACCCCGUAUUAGCAAAGCCCAACCCAAACUCCAUGUUAGCACUUAGCAGUACUGUGCUUUAACUUAUCCUGCAAUUAUGUUUUUCUUUUUUUCUCGGAUAAAAUCAUAUAAACUUGAUGUGAAUUAUGGUUAAUUUUAAUUUGGCCCAAUCUUUUAAAAUAUUGAUUAUACAAUCAAAAUUUUAAUUUGUUUAAUUUGAGUAAAUCAACAGUAUCCUCACUUCAAAAUUCAAAGGGGCUAUUUAUUUUUAUAGUUUUAAUUGGUAUAUUUUAUAUAACUGGCGCAAUAACAAAAUUAUUAAAAUAAAUAAAUAAUUUCAAUUUUAAAACUAAAAUGCUUAUUCAAAAAUUUAUAUAGCUCACUCAAAAUGGACCAUAACCAUAAGUAAAUCCCUUACAUUAUUGUUAAUUAUUAUUAAUACUACUACUGGUUACCCUAUAUUACUGGUAGCAUUUGUUAAAAACAGUUGUGAAUCAUAUGUUCCAUUCACUCUAAGGCUGAAAAAAUAAAUUUUGAAAAAUUUUAUUUAUUCUUUUCCGAAAAAGUUCUAGAGCUUCUCAUAAUCUGGUACACACAAAAAAAAAAAAAAAAAAACUUCAAAUACUGCUUUUGUGUUUUUAUGCUUUCUCAUUUUAUAUCUUGUGAUUUUAAGUUAUAUCAAUUUAGUAUAUGUGUUUUUUUUUUGAAUUUUCUUCUAUUAAUCAAUGAAAACUUAAAUACUAAACAAGUAUUAAACUAAAUAUUGGAUAAGUUCUCGGUGGGUAUUGAGCAGUUUUUACUAUGAACUUAAGAUGCUAACGGAGAAAGUUUGACGAAAAGAAAAAAAAUCAUAGAAAACUAAAUGAUACACUUUAACCAUAGAGGCUACUAACAGCUGAAAAAGUGUGAAAUUAUAUAAUGAUAUUAAAGUUUACAAAACAAAAAAAUAUAAAAAAAACAUUUCUAGAGGAUAAUUAUGCCGGUCUUGCAGCCUUCCAGAUCGCGUCUCCAAAUUCCUCGAUGCCUGUCGGCCCAAGAUCGUCUCCGAAUCGUCGAGCGGCCCGGACGCUCCCGAGGUCGGCCGCCGCCGCCGCGCCACCGCCGUCGUCACACAAAUUCGCUCUCGCUCUCGCUCUGCUUGCCGCCGCUUCUUCUUCCCCUGCGAGGGGGACGCCUUCCUGUCCGCGGCCACGGCCUCUGCAGCGCUCGCAGGACGUCCGACCCUCAAACCCCCGUCCGUCGUCCACCCUCGCCUCGGCCUCGGCUGGCGCGGGCGAGGGCGGGGCAGCGGCGACGCGCAAAGUCCUCCUCGUCGGAGUGCCGCGUCGUGCGGCGGUUGAGGUGAUACGCAGAGGAGGGAUUUGCCGGCCGCCGCGCCGGAUGUGGUGUGGUGGUGGUGGGAGCGGAUCUCGCGGCGGCCGUAGUGCGACGCGGAGGGGCGCGGAGCGGAAGGCGCAGAAGGGAGACGUUCGGGAGGAGGAGGGAGAAGAGGGCGGUGUGGUUGGCGCCCCGCCGCCCGGGCAAGCAUCUUUGCCUUAAUUAGUGACGGGAUUGAAGAGCAGUCCUCAUUUGUUGCUUUCUUUCCUUUUUUUUUUUUUUUUCUUCUUUUUAUUGUGUGUUUUCCAGGACCGUCGUCGAAAAUAAAUAAUUAUAUUCAAAAUUAAAAAUUGGCUAAAUUAUAUAAAAUCUCCGGUCAAAAUUUGAUUUUUCACUUCCCUUUCCUGUCAUUUAAAAAUCUACAUUUUGUUUCCUUAUAAAAUAAAAAAUAUUCGGUGUGUAAAAUGAUCAUUUUGUCACUCACUAUUGUUGUCUCCUUUAUCAUCUUCCUCAACCGCCGCCUCGAUCGGCCACGAUUCACACUUCGAUCGGCUGCGAUUUCUCUCCAUUUUUUUUUCCAUCUGCUCUUCCUGCACCUUCGCCGCCCCUCGAUUUCGGCGAUAGUAUGGAGGAAAUCGAGAUGGGCGUUGAUGGAGAGGUAGGAAAGAGCAACGAGGGCGAAGGCGAGGCGGCGGAGGAGGGCGAACGGAUGUGGGCGAGUGCAGGGCGGUGGAGGAGGGCGAGGCGGCGAGGCGGCGGUAGGCGAAGCAACAGGGAAGAGGACGAAGGGGUAUUUUUGGCAUAAAAAAAUAUUUUAUAACGGAACCCUAAUGGUAGGGGGUGAAGUGCACAUUUUUUAUUUUACUAGUUAAGUGCACGUGCCACGCACGUCACACAAAUACUAAAAAAAAAAAUUUAUAAAUAAAUAUUAUAGAUUCGAUAAAUAAUAUUUAAUCAUUACUAAAAUAAAAUGAUAGAAAUAAAAAAUAGAAUUACAAUAUCAUAAAAGAAAGAACACAAAAUCUAUCAUGGUAUCAUUAAAAAAAAAUACAAAAUUCGUCACUAAACUAAUUGAAAAUGUCACCAUUAGUUCCCCUUCCGUACAAAUUGCAUUGUAAGUAAGAAAAACAAUAAAAUAAAUAUUAGUAAAUCAUCAGAAUAGAUAAAAUUAAAAAAAAUGUAAAUUUAAUAAGAAUUCAUAUAAGUAAAAAAUUUAGCUUAAUUUUAUUUCUUGAGUUUUUGGAAUAGGUGGAUUAAGCACAAUUUUACUUAUAAAAUUUUGCUAAAUUGAUCCUGAUAAAUAAAUUUAAAAUACCACAAAAAAAUAAAAUAUUAAAAAGUACAUUUAUCCUAAUUAUCGAUAUUAAAGUGCACUAUUUUUAUACAACAACUGAAUUGUUUACAAUAGUGUCUCUCCAAAUGCCAAUGUGUGUUAUAGCACUAUCUUGUUCUAGAGUAUGAAUCUAAUUCGAUUCAUGCUUCAAUCCAUCCAAAUAAUUAGUUAUUAAUAAUUUUUUCAUGCCAAUGUGUGUUAGCAUUAUCUUGUCCUAGAAAAUCAAUCUAAUUCAAUUCAUACUUCAAUCCAUCCAAAUAAUUAGUUCUUAAUAAUUUUAUUCAUGUGAAAUGAUAAAAAGAGAAAUAUUUUAAAUUAAAAUUCAAAUUAUCAAAUUCGCGGGUAUUAAAUUUUGGCGGGCAUUACAAAUUUAAAAUUUAAUUUUGGUACUUAGAUUGGUAGGUAUUACGUUUGAGAAAAAAAAUAUUUGAGAAAAUGUUUGGAUAUGUAAUAAAUUUAAUUUUACAUAUUAUGUGAUUAGCGGAGAUAUUACGUGAUUGGCGGGUAGGGCGUUAGAUAAGAGAUAAAUUUAGUUUUACGUAUUACAUGAUUGUUCGGUAGAAAAAAAAUUUGAAAAAAGGAUAUUUUUGCCAACAAAAAUAACAGAUACUUUUAUUUUUAUUCGUUGGAUGAGAUCCAAUGGCGAAAACUUAAGAUCUAUAUUUGAGAAUAAAUUAUUAUUUGAAGAUUUAUUUAAAAUAGAUAAAAUAUAUUUUAUAUUUGAGAACACGGAGAAUAUUUUGGUGUUGAAUAUUUUGGUAAAAAUAUUUAAAAUUAUAUUUAAUUAACGAUUUUGUUUUGAUUGGGCGGGUAUUAAUUUUUUUAAAAAAUAUUCUAUGCUUUUACGACGCAUUAUUUAAAUAUUGAAUAUUUUGUUAAAAAUAUUUAAAAUUAUAUUUAAUUAACGAUUUAGUUUUGAUUUGGGGUAUUAAAAUAUUUUUAACAAUAUUUAACGCUUUUAUGGCGCGCCAAAUUUUAAUACUCGUCAAAAUUAAAUCUACUAUUUUAUUUAAGGAAAAACCUACUAUCAUAAAUUAAAAUUCAAAUUAUCAAAUUCGCGGGUAUUAAAUUUAUGCGGGCAUUACAAAUUUAAAUUUUAAUUUUGAAUACUACAUGUUGGCAGCAAAUAAAUUUAAUUUUACGUAUUACGUGAUUAGCGAAGGUAUUGCAUGAUUGGCGGGUAUUACGUUAGAUAAGAGAUAAAUUUAGUUUUACGUAUGGUGGGUAGAAAAAAAAAUAUAUGAGAAACGCGGCGUAGAUAGGAGAUAACGGAUAUAAAGGGUAUUUUUGUCAACAAAAAUGACAGAUAUUUUUAUUUUUAUUCGUUGGAUGAGAUCUAAUGGCGAAAACUUAAGAUUUAUAUUUAAGAAUAAAUUAUUAUUUAAAGAUUUAUUUAAAAUGAGUGGUUGAAAUUUACUGGACAUGACAAUAUUAGUAAAAAAGAUAGAGAUAUUUUUGGAAAGGAAAAAAUUUCAAAACUCACGCUUUUAUAAGUAGUAUAGAUAAGGAGGCAAAGUGUAUGUUUUUAAAUGACAGGGGAAAAGUGAAAAAUUGGGUCUUGACAGAAGGGUUUUCUGUAAUUUGGCCUUAAAAAUUUAUCAAAAUAUUAUUAUUUUUUUAUUGUAGGAUAAAAAUGAGACGACAAAUAAUAGUAGAAUACAAAUUAUACAUAUAUAAAAUAUAAAAAAAUUAAUUUAUCCCUUCAUUAUAUAUUUAUGGUUAAAAUUUUAAAUAUUAUUUAUAUGAUUUUGCACUUCUUAUUUUAUUGUCCUAUGAUUUAAAGUGUAUUCAUUUAAUACCCUGUAAUUUUAUUUUAUUUUAUUUUUUUAUUAUUCAUUCUAUUAUUUUUUUUCGUUAAAUUAAUAACAAAAUUAAAACUAAAAAAAUACUAAAAAGUAAAUAUUU
rnacentral:lncRNA from 1 species